CUGGACAGCUUCUUCGCAAACCGAAACGCGAUUCGUAAUCUCACUGCAUCGAUUCAGUCGCGUUUUGGUUUUGGUUCAGAACUUCUUUGGUUCAGAAUGCUUAUGGUUUGGUGCAUUUUUACGAAAAAUACAGCUUUUGGCCUUGCCCACAUGGUGUUCGAUAAAACGCCUCAACCAGAAUUGUCGCUGUUACUACCGUUUUGCAACUCGCACGUCACAUGGACCCAAAAUUAAGGAAGAUUUUACAGCUUUUGCGUUUGAGACAGGAAGCAUCGGUAACAAGAGCAUUAGAGGAUGGUAUACAUUCUAUUUUUGA
rnacentral:lncRNA from 1 species